UAUUGGAAGCAUCCUUACUGUUUAGUACAAAUUAGUGGUACUUUGUGUAGCCGUUUCUAAGUGUAUGCUUUCCUCAUGUCAAAUAUCUUUCAACAAAAUGUAGAAAGAGAAAGAUUAUCUGUGGAAGUAUUCAGCAAGUGAUGACGAAGCUUUGGUCAUAUCUAUUGAGUAAUAGUAUAGUCUACCAUAAAACAUAGUAAAGAGGAGGAAGGGGGCUUGGUAGAAAUACUUUGCGGAGAAGGGGCUUAAUCAUGGGGUGACCUUUGGUGUAGAAUUAGCUAGUUUUGCUUUAUUGGUUGUAAGGAGAAUUUUGUGAUUAAAGGCUAAGAAAUGAAGCUUGCCACUUGGUCUUUAGGAACUUUUCCAGCAAGCCUAUGAGUAUACGUGGUUAAACUGCAGUAAGUGCUUGUUUAGUUGCC
rnacentral:lncRNA from 1 species